rnacentral:siRNA from 1 species
UUUGCGAUGGACUUGCGAUGUGUU